ACGCCCAUUCAAGAUUAAAAAAAGGAAGGUGAAACCUACUCUCUCUUCUCCUUUAACGCCCAUUCAAGAUUAAAAAAAGGAAGGUGAAACCUACUCUCUCUUCUCCUUUAACGCCCAUUCAAGAUUAAAAAAAGGAAGGUUAAACCUACUCUCACUUCUCCUUUAACGCCCAUUCAAGAUUAAAAAAAGGAAGGUUAAACCUACUCUCACCUCUCCUUUAAC